UCAGUCUCCUGUUGACCGGAACUCCC
rnacentral:piRNA from 1 species